GGACGCGUAGCACAACUGGAUAGUGCGGGAGAUUUCUACUCUCCUGGUUAGGGUUCGAGAUCCCUUCGUGUUCGCCA
rnacentral:tRNA from 1 species